rnacentral:rRNA from 1 species
AUUGAACGCUGGCGGCAUGCCUUACACAUGCAAGUCGAACGGCAGCGGGGACUUCGGUCCGCCGGCGAGUGGCGAACGGGUGAGUAAUGUAUCGGAACGUACCUUUCAGUGGGGGAUAACGUAGCGAAAGUUACGCUAAUACCGCAGAUUCUCUGAGGAGGAAAGCAGGGGACCUUCGGGCCUUGCGCUGAUGGAGCGGCCGAUAUCAGAUUAGCUAGUUGGUGGGGUAAAGGCUCACCAAGGCUACGAUCUGUAGCGGGUCUGAGAGGAUGAUCCGCCACACUGGGACUGAGACACGGCCCAGACUCCUACGGGAGGCAGCAGUGGGGAAUUUUGGACAAUGGGCGAAAGCCUGAUCCAGCCAUGCCGCGUGAGUGAAGAAGGCCUUCGGGUUGUAAAGCUCUUUCGGACGGGAAGAAAUCAUGAGGGCUAAUAUCCCUUGUGGAUGACGGUACCGUAAUAAGAAGCACCGGCUAACUACGUGCCAGCAGCCGCGGUAA